rnacentral:rRNA from 1 species
UACGUAGGGCGCAAGCGUUGUCCGGAAUUAUUGGGCGUAAAGCGCGCGCAGGCGGUCCUUUAAGUCUGAUGUGAAAGCCCACGGCUCAACCGUGGAGGGUCAUUGGAAACUGGGGGACUUGAGUGCAGAAGAGGAGAGCGGAAUUCCACGUGUAGCGGUGAAAUGCGUAGAGAUGUGGAGGAACACCAGUGGCGAAGGCGGCUCUCUGGUCUGUAACUGACGCUGAGGCGCGAAAGCGUGGGGAGCGAACAGG